rnacentral:ncRNA from 1 species
GGCUGUAGUAUGUUCCAAGGGUUGGGCUGUUCACCCAUUAAAGCGGUACGUAAGCUGGGUUCAGAACGUCGUGAGACAGUUUAGUCCAUAUCUGGUGUGGGCGUUAGAGCAUUGAGAGGACCUUUCCCUAGUACGAAAGGACUGGGAAGGACCCACCUCUGGUGUACCAGUUAUCGUGCCCACGGUAAACACUGGGUAGCCAAGUGCGGAGUGGAUAACUGCUGAAAGCAUCUAAGUAGUAAGCCCACCCCAAGAUGAGUGCUCU